GGAUUUCUCCACAUGUUGAGUCAGUGCACACAGAGCUGCAGAGAGACACUCUGAUAUAAAGGUCAAGUCCUUUUUUAGCCUUUUAGCAUUUUUUAGCCAAAACAAAUAUACAAAAUUUUAAAGAAUGACUGCAAACAUUAGCAUGCAGAGCUAAUUAGCUUACUACUGUAAGGCAGUAAAUGGGAAAUAAUUUUGAGGGGCAUGUUCUUUGUGAUCUGGGUUGCUUGCUCUAGUGGGGAAAUAGAGGAGAGUUAUGGAGGAGAGGAGAGUAGAAAAAGAGUUGUUUUGGAGAAGUAUAUUAGUGGUUGCAUAUACUGGAAUUGUGUGUAAACUGAGAAGAGUGAUAUAUAAAGCAGUGCAACAGAAGAGGAGUGAAACCAGAGACCAGAAGCAGCUAAGGUGCAGACAGGGUCACCUUCCAUCGGUGAGGACAUAGCAGCCCAGUUUGCAUCCAGCCCAGGAGAGUGGAUUGGACAGCACCCCUAACCUGUAUACUUGAAGGUGAUGCAGCUAUAGGGGACGGUGAGAAACAGCAUUGUCUUUCAACUAUCAUCUCCAAAUUGCAAUUUGUACUGAAUGGAAAAUAG